rnacentral:rRNA from 1 species
AUGCAGUCGAACGCUUUUUCUUUCACCGGAGCUUGCUCCACCGAAAGAAAAAGAGUGGCGAACGGGUGAGUAACACGUGGGUAACCUGCCCAUCAGAAGGGGAUAACACUUGGAAACAGGUGCUAAUACCGUAUAACACUAUUUUCCGCAUGGAAGAAAGUUGAAAGGCGCUUUUGCGUCACUGAUGGAUGGACCCGCGGUGCAUUAGCUAGUUGGUGAGGUAACGGCUCACCAAGGCAACGAUGCAUAGCCGACCUGAGAGGGUGAUCGGCCACACUGGGACUGAGACACGGCCCAGACUCCUACGGGAGGCAGCAGUAGGGAAUCUUCGGCAAUGGACGAAAGUCUGACCGAGCAACGCCGCGUGAGUGAAGAAGGUUUUCGGAUCGUAAAACUCUGUUGUUAGAGAAGAACAAGGAUGAGAGUAAAACGUUCAUCCCUUGACGGUAUCUAACCAGAAAGCCACGGCUAACUACGUGCCAGCAGCCGCGGUAAUACGUAGGUGGCAAGCGUUGUCCGGAUUUAUUGGGCGUAAAGCGAGCGCAGGCGGUUUCUUAAGUCUGAUGUGAAAGCCCCCGGCUCAACCGGGGAGGGUCAUUGGAAACUGGGAGACUUGAGUGCAGAAGAGGAGAGUGGAAUUCCAUGUGUAGCGGUGAAAUGCGUAGAUAUAUGGAGGAACACCAGUGGCGAAGGCGGCUCUCUGGUCUGUAACUGACGCUGAGGCUCGAAAGCGUGGGGAGCGAACAGGAUUAGAUACCCUGGUAGUCCACGCCGUAAACGAUGAGUGCUAAGUGUUGGAGGGUUUCCGCCCUUCAGUGCUGCAGCAAACGCAUUAAGCACUCCGCCUGGGGAGUACGACCGCAAGGUUGAAACUCAAAGGAAUUGACGGGGGCCCGCACAAGCGGUGGAGCAUG